UGCAGAGGGGGCAAGCGUUGUUCGGAAUUACUGGGCGUAAAGGGCGCGUAGGCGGCCUUCUAAGUCAUGCGUGAAAUCCCCGGGCUCAACCCGGGAACUGCGUCCGAUACUGGCAGGCUUGAAUCCGGGAGAGGGAUGCGGAAUUCCAGGUGUAGCGGUGAAAUGCGUAGAUAUCUGGAGGAACACCGGUGGCGAAGGCGGCAUCCUGGACCGGCAUUGACGCUGAGGCGCGAAAGCCAGGGGAGCAAACGGG
rnacentral:rRNA from 1 species